ensembl:lncRNA
AGACACACCAGAAGAGGGCAUCAGAUCCCAUUACAGAUGGUUGUGAGCUACCACGUGGUUGCUGGGUUUUGAACUCAGGACCUCUGGAAGAGCAGUCAGUGUUCUUUUAACCACUAUCUCUCCAGACCCUGAAGGCAGUGGCUUGGCUUGGCUUCCUACAGCUUAAGAUUCCAGGGUUCAGCCACCAGAUCGCGGUGCACUGUGGUCCUUCUACCUGAUAUACAGGGAUACUGUUUCCUGCCAUUCCACACAUGAGAACUCCAGGUAGUAGACUUGGUUAAUGGAAUGGUUAUUUGGGAGUAGAGUUCCAAAAGUUAAGCUGUUUCUCCACUGUUUCUUUGACUCAGCCCAACAAAAUGAAGGGGAUUUGAGGGCCAGAGAUGGGUUCUGUUUUUUUAAACUGUGCGGGUGUUGACUGACUCUAAUCUAGGAUGUUUUGAUUUCAUAGUGCCCAGCUGCCAGUUUGAGGAGAUGCUUGCCCUGGAUGCCUUGAAAGUAGGGUGGUCUUCACCAGGCUAAAAGAAUGAUUGGGGAUUUAGCUCAGCGGUAGAGCGCCUGCCUAGCAAGAGGAAGGCCCUGGAAGGCCCUGGGUUCGGUCCCCAGCUCCGGAAAAGAAAAGAAAACAAAACAAAACAAAAAAGAAUGAUCCACAGCAGGGUGCUGUGGUUCUCAGAGCUGAAUGAGAUCUGCGUCCACCCAGGACUUCAGGUUUCUGACUACACCGGGUUUUGAGUAAUGUAUGUGGUCUCUGAUGUAGAGGUACUUCAGUUCAGAUGGGGGAAGUUAAGUUUGCCUUAGAGGGUUACAGAACUGAUGAAAUUCCAGAGAAUGAAGUCCAGCUAUGCUUUGGCAGAUGGGACAGCUCACACCCACGACCUCUGAGUUACAUACAUCUCCAGCUAUAAUUUGGGGGGGGGGCUAGAUGAUAUCUGUGUACUACAUAUGGCUAGCUACUUGCUAAUUAAAAAGUAAGUGGUUUUCAGACAUAUCUAGUUGGAUGGUAGCCAUCUUAGAAUGUUCCAGAAAGUUUAGGAUACUGCUUUGUAAAAGCAAAGGUUUAUAAAGACUUUUUAAAUUUAUUUUUAUUAUUUAUUUAUUUAUUUUUUAAUAUUUUUUAUUUUUUUAUUUUUUAUCCCUAUAGUAAAUGUUGUUAGUACUGUCUUUGGCUUUUGCAACUAUGUUGCUUCUGUGUGUGAAAAGUAAUGUAUCGGCAAAUGAACAUGGCUAUAUUCCAAUAAAACAUAACUGAUGAACACUGACAUUGGGAUUUCAUUGGCAAUUUCAGAGUCAACGUUCCCAAAUGUUUGAAAGCUUAAGAUCUUCCCAAGGCACAUUGACAAAGAGAUAGCAGGAUAAGGAUUAGUAACAUUUCUGAC